rnacentral:lncRNA from 1 species
AUGCUUUUAAAGCAUGAUGCUACGCUACGGCGUUGUUAUUGUUCUAUAAUACUGGCUUUCACUUUUACUUUUUCGAAUUAUUCAUCUCUAAGAAUCAAUUAUUUUGACUAAACUGGCUUUCACUUCAACUUAUUCAUUCUUACGUUUAAACAAAAACUAUCAAGAACCAUUGUCCAUUACUCACAGAAACUAUAAGAACCAAAGCCUCAAGAACAACGAGCUACUAGAUUCUAAGAGAGUUGUUAUUCAUUCCACGGCAACAAACAUGAUGACUCUAAAUUUAGUGGUAUCAUUAGUAGUUGCCUUGUCUUUUUAGGUCUUUAUAUGGUAAUUCCCGUGUAGAGUUGAUUAAGAUGUAAACUAAGGGUGUGUUUGGAUUGAAGGUUUAGG